rnacentral:rRNA from 1 species
UAGCAUAAUCAUUUGUCUUAUAAUAGAAGGCUGGUAUGAAAGAGUUGACGGCGCUAAAACUUUCUUUAAAAAUUAAUUGAAUUUAAUAUCUACAUUAAAAAGUGUAGAGCACCCAAAGGGACGAUAAGACCCUAUAAAGCUUCUAUCGAAAUAUUUGUUGGUAUAAAGGUAAAAAAUAAUUUUAAUCGAUUGAGCUGGGGCGGUAGUUACAAUUCUGUAAUAGSGGUAACAUAAUUUAUGAAUGUAAAGAUCUUAAAAAAGAAUUAGAACAAGCUACUUUAGGGAUAACAGCAUAAUUUCUUAGAAUAGAUCGAAUAGAUUAAUAAGACUUAUGACCUCGAUGUUGAAUUGAGGGGCCUUUUGUAAGCAAAAAUACAAAAAGGAGGUCUGUUCGACCUUUGA